UACGUAGGGUGCGAGCGUUAAUCGGAAUUACUGGGCGUAAAGCGUGCGCAGGCGGUUUGCUAAGGCAGGUGUGAAAUCCCCGGGCUUAACCUGGGAACUGCGCUUGUGACUGGCAGGCUAGAGUACGGCAGAGGGGGGUGGAAUUCCUGGUGUAGCAGUGAAAUGCGUAGAUAUCAGGAGGAACACCGAUGGCGAAGGCAGCCCCCUGGGCCUGUACUGACGCUCAUGCACGAAAGCGUGGGGAGCAAACAGGAUUAGAUA
rnacentral:rRNA from 1 species